AUUGAACGCUGGCGGCAGGCCUAACACAUGCAAGUCGAGCGAGCGGCGGACGGGUGAGUAAUGUAGGGAGAUCUGCCCGACCGACGGGGAUAACUACUGGAAACCGUGGCUAAUACCGCAUACUCUCGGCUGAAUCCAUUUGGGCUUAGUUAGUUGGUGGGGUAAAGGCUCACCUAGGCGACGAUCUCUAGCUGGUCUGAGAGGAUGAUCAGCCACACUGGAACUGAGACACGGCCCAGACUCCUACGGGAGGCAGCAGUGGGGAAUAUUGCACAAUGGGCGAAAGCCUGAUGCAGCCAUGCCGCGUGUAUGAAGAAGGCCUUAGGGUUGUAAAGUACUUUAAGCGGGGAGGCGUUACCCGCAGAAUAAGCACCGGCUAACUCCGUGCCAGCAGCCGCGGUAAUUC
rnacentral:rRNA from 1 species